AUUGAACGCUGGCGGCAGGCCUAACACAUGCAAGUCGAACGGUAGCACAGAGAGCUUGCUCUCGGGUGACGAGUGGCGGACGGGUGAGUAAUGUCUGGGAAACUGCCCGAUGGAGGGGGAUAACUACUGGAAACGGUAGCUAAUACCGCAUAACGUCGCAAGACCAAAGUGGGGGACCUUCGGGCCUCACACCAUCGGAUGUGCCCAGAUGGGAUUAGCUAGUAGGUGGGGUAAUGGCUCACCUAGGCGACGAUCCCGAGCUGGUCUGAGAGGAUGACCAGCCACACUGGAACUGAGACACGGUCCAAACUCCUACGGGAGGCAGCAGUGGGGAAUAUUGCACAAUGGGCGCAAGCCUGAUGCAGCCAUGCCGCGUGUAUGAAGAAGGCCUUCGGGUUGUAAAGUACUUUCAGCGGGGAGGAAGGCGGUGAAGUUAAUAACUUCACCGAUUGACGUUACCCGCAGAAGAAGCACCGGCUAACUCCGUGCCAGCCGCCGCCGUAA
rnacentral:rRNA from 1 species